CAUUGGCCCAGAGCUUCGUGGAUUGUGAUUGGACUGCUAGCUGGCUGGCUGGCUGACCUGACUUGACCUGACCUGAGCCAACAUGAUUUACAUUUUCCUUGUUGACACUGGCACCAUGAUCUUUGACAUGAACCUGGCACUGGAGAGAUCAGUGAGGGGCUGCUGGAACCAGGGAGGGAAGAGGUCAGCGCUGUGCUUCAAGAGGUAGACCGGCCACAGAUGAAGGAGGUGAAGGGCUGUGUGGCCUGGAGCAGCUCAUGCAUGAUGCUGCCAAUGUGGUGCAGGAGCAGAGCAAUUUCUCCCAGAAGACAAAGUUUUGCCCAGAGAGUGACCUGCUGCUUUGUGGAGUGAUGCCCCAAGAAGCUGCCAGACCAGCCUUCCACAAGUUUCUCAAGACACUAUUAGCCACACCGUCUGAAGACGCACAUGGCUUUGCAGUGGCACCACACCACAGGCUGGUGACUCCUGUGCACCACUUGAUGGAGAAUAGUGUGUCUGUUGGCAGAGAGUGGUGAGAUAAGUGUUCAUCUUGUUUUACUCAGUAAUAAGCAUGUUCACUGGGUUCAAACUGUGCCUCAUGUAUGCACAAUUGAUAAGACCACUCUUCUGACACUCUAAUAGGCAGGGCAGCAGCAGCAGGAGCAGCACUGUUAGUGUUCAAGCUUCACUAUCUUUGAUCAUAGUGUUUAAAUAUACUAUGUUGGUUUGUUUAUUAGCAUUCAGAUUAAUUUGCUUUGCUUAGUCUUCAUUUGUUCCUUAUUUUGUGUUGGUAUAAUAUAUAUAUA